GAUAACUGCACUACUUUGAACCCAGCAUGCCUGAAUGAGGAUGAUCGACACUGUCUUGAGGCUAUUCGAAUGAUACACAAGCAGAUGGAUGAUGACAAUGAUGGAGAUGUUGACGUGGAGGAGAGUCAUGAGAACCUUUCUUGAGCCCCACGCUAGAGUUUUGCCAAUAGUGUUUAAUUGGCCUGUUCUGCUGGUACUGGUUGAGCUUUGAGUAUAGGUCACCCGUCGUUUGUGACCAACUGGAGACUACCAUUUUUAUACCUGAUUAAAAGCAUAAGCUUAGAAAAACAAAUUUUUGCUGAAAUAAAUAAAUGUACAUAUGUUUAUA